GAUGAAGAACGUAGCGAAAUGCGAAAAGUAAUGUGAAUUGCAGAAUUCAGUGAACCAUCGAAUCUUUGAACGCACAUUGCGCCCGCUGGAACUCCGGCGGGCACGCCUGUCCGAGCGUCAUUUCAACCCUCAGGCCCCCCUUCGCGGGUGGGCCUGGUGUUGGGGCCCGGCCGCUACCCUGCGGCCGUCCCCUAAAUCCAGUGGCGGCCUCGCCGUGAUCCCUUGCGUAGUAAUGCACCUCGCACCGGAGAGCGCCGUGGCCACGCCGUAAAACCCCCAAUUUUCAAUGGUUGACCUCGGAUCAGGUGGGAAUACCCGCUGAACUUAAGCAUAUCAAUAAGCGGAGGA
rnacentral:misc_RNA from 1 species